GGCAAUCUCCUGCAGUUCCUCCUCAAUGGCUUUUCCUACUCCAACAGCAUACAUAGUUAUUCCUAAGGUACAGAGCAAAUUAAGAACAAGGUAGUUAAGAGUGUGUUCCCAGUCUGGAAGUUGUGUGUACUUUACCCAACAACAGCUAGAUGUUAAGUGGUGUGAUCUGAAGGUUCCAUGUCAACUUUCCUUUAUUUUUCCACCAUUUUUAUUUUGGCUCUAUGAACCCAGAGAAGGAUCCAGAGAGAGGAGGCAUCUAGGAGAAGCUGAGCAGCUAGUCCUCCAGCCUGUUGCUCAGUUCUGGGAUGGCUGUGUGCAGAAUGGGGCAUGGGAAGGACUGAGCAUGGAGAACCGGAAGAAACCUACUGCGAUCAUCCUGGUGCCCCACACCAGGCUGGUGACAGGUGGUCAGACUGUGGCUGUAUUUUGAAGGCAGAGCCUACAAGCUUUGAUGGCUGGGUAUGAAGAGACCAUCCUCUAUACAAAUAUGACAGAAGAGCCACAGAUGACUCUGAGGCCUGAGCAACUGAAGAAUGGCACUGCCAUCCACAGGGCUGGAGUGGCUUCCUUGGGAACUGGUUUGUGAAUGUGUGAAAACCAGGCUGAUACUUUAAGUGCUUUAUACUGAGGACAGGUGGGAAGUGACUUUUUAACUUUUAAAGAGAAUGAUAUGCAAUCUGCAGUCAACUCAAUCGUUUCAGAUCAAGUGGAAUUUCUACAGUGGAGAUGCACUAAAGAAUUAAAUAAAGGCUCCAAAGUGCACAAUCACUUUUAUAAUCAGG